GGGCGGGGUUUUCUGUUAGAGGCGUGGCCUUCGUGAAGUUGCCCGAGUUCUCCUGGGCUUUGUAGUGUGGGGAGAAGUGUGUGUCGAGUAUUCCUGUCUUCACGUGCACGGCAUCAGUGGGGUUCAGCUCGCCCAGCAGCCCACGCCCUUUGUGUAGUGUGUGCUGCGAGUUUGUGCGCAGGAAAGCGUGGGCUGCUUCGUGGAACCGACGCUAGUGAGCCCUGAGCUGAAUAUAAAUUCCAAAGACAUAAGAAGAGGAGACAGAGGUUCCCCACUAGAGUACCAGGGACCUGUAACCAGAAUUAAGUUGCAUCUACCCGCAUUGGCUCUGUGCUUCUUGAAGAUUAAAAUUAUACCAGCCAUUACCAA